rnacentral:rRNA from 1 species
UUUCCCUCAGGAUAGCUGGCACUCGCUUUAAAGCGAGUCUCAUCUGGUAAAGCGAAUGAUUAGAGGCCUUGGGGCCGAAACGACCUCAACCUAUUCUCAAACUUUAAAUGGGUGAGAUCUCUGGCUUGCUUGAACGUUGAAGCCACGAGAUGUAAAAUAUAAAGGAUCAGAGUGCCAAGUGGGCCAAUUUUGGUAAGCAGAACUGGCGCUGUGGGA